GAGGAUAUAGCUCAGUGGUAGAGUGCAUGCCUAGCAUGCACAAGGCCCUGGGUUCAAUCCUCAGUACCUCCG
rnacentral:tRNA from 1 species